rnacentral:rRNA from 1 species
CCUGAUGCAGCGACGCCGCGUGAGGGAUGAAGGCCUUCGGGUUGUAAACCUCUUUCAGCAGGGACGAAGCGUGAGUGACGGUACCUGCAGAAGAAGCACCGGCUAACUACGUGCCAGCAGCCGCGGUAAUACGUAGGGUGCGAGCGUUGUCCGGAAUUACUGGGCGUAAAGAGUUCGUAGGCGGUUUGUCGCGUCGUUUGUGAAAACCCGGGGCUCAACUUCGGGCUUGCAGGCGAUACGGGCAGACUUGAGUGUUUCAGGGGAGACUGGAAUUCCUGGUGUAGCGGUGAAAUGCGCAGAUAUCAGGAGGAACACCGGUGGCGAAGGCGGGUCUCUGGGAAACAACUGACGCUGAGGAACGAAAGCGUGGGUAGCAAACAGGAUUAGAUACCCUGGGGUAGUCA